rnacentral:lncRNA from 1 species
GCAUAUGUGAUGUGCUUGUUUUAUGUCUAUAAGUGAACUUUGAUAUCAAAAUUGAUGUUGAGUUAAUUGUUAAAGUGCAUGAAUUUUUCCUAGGUAGUUUAAUUUUGAUUUAAUGUGUCUGUAAACAUGAAAUUUGGUGUCUCGAAUUUAAUUCAGUCUGUUAAGUAUGUGUUUAUAGCUUUGGUGAAUAUUUGGAUAUAUUUUGGGAUUUGAUUGAAUGGCCUAAACUAUCAAAUUUUGCAAUUUU